UACGUAGGGGGCCAGCGUUGCUCGGAAUUACUGGGCGUAAAGGGUUCGUAGGCGGUGCGGCAAGUCGGUAGUGAAAUCUCCAGGCUUAACUUGGAGGCUGCUGCCGAAACUGCCGUGCUAGAGUGCAGGAGAGGCGAGUGGAAUUACAGGUGUAGCGGUGAAAUGCGUAGAUAUCUGUAGGAACACCCGUGGCGAAGGCGGCUCGCUGGACUGCAACUGACGCUGAGGAACGAAAGCUAGGGGAG
rnacentral:rRNA from 1 species